GAAUCCCGUCUUUGACAUGGACUACCAGUGCAUUUGUGGUGUGCUCUCAAAGAGUCGAGUUGUUUGGGAAUGCAGCUCUAAAUGGGUGGUAAACUCCAUCUAAAGCUAAAUAUUGGCGAGAGACCGAUAGCGAACAAGUACCGUGAGGGAAAGAUGAAAAGAACUUUGGAAAGAGAGUUAAACAGUAUGUGAAAUUGUUGAAAGGGAAACGCUUGAAGUCAGUCGCGUCGACCGAGACUCAGCCUUGCCUUGGCUUGGUGUACUUCUCGGCCUGACGGGUCAGCAUCAAUUUUGCCCCUUGGAUAAUGGCGAGGGAAAUGUGACACCUUUACGGUGUGUUAUAGUCUCUUGUCGCAUGCAAGGGUUGGGAUUGAGGAACUCAGCACGCACCUUUGGGUGUCGGGGCUUUGCCCACGAUACGUGCUUAGGAUGUUGGCGUAAUGGCUUUAAACGACCCGUCUUGAAACACGGACCAAGGAGUCUAACAUGCCUGCGAGUGUUCGGGUGGAAAACUCGUGCGCGCAAUGAAAGUGAAAGUUGGGACCUCUGUCGUGGAGGGCACCGACGCCCGGACCAGACCUUCUGUGACAGCUCUGCGGUAAAGCAUGUAUGUUAGGACCCGAAAGAUGGUGAACUAUGCCUGAAUAGGGUGAAGCCAGAGGAAACUCUGGUGGAGGCUCGUAGCGAUUCUGACGUGCAAAUCGAUCGUCAAAUUUGGGUAUAGGGGCGAAAGACUAAUCGAACCAUCUAGUAGCUGGUUCCUGCC
rnacentral:rRNA from 1 species